UCCAGACAUCAGUAUGGACUGGACUGUCCAGACUGAAUGUCCUAGUCAUCAAGACAGGAUCCACAUCUUCCUCUAGCUCCCAUGUGCUUUCUUCAUACGGCAGAGAGCACCAUUUUACCAGACACAUGACAGAACGAGACUUUCUGGGAAAAAGGACACGCAGAUGGGACACCUGAUGGGUCAGAUCUAUUCAUGCUCACAGCCAGGACAAGCCACUGUCCCCUCCCUCUGCUCUUACCAAUGAAGGCUAAUCAUCUGCACAGCCUUAAGGCCUUGAAAACCAUCACACAUCUGAUAAAUAAAAACUGAAAGAUGUC
rnacentral:lncRNA from 1 species